AUCUUUGGGGCAAUGACGCAGUUAGUGAGGUGAAACCGAGACGAGUCAAUUGCUGGUUGAAAACUAUUUCCAUAUACAG
rnacentral:snRNA from 20 species